CCAUUUCCCUCAAUACCAUUUCAAUUAUGUACUUUCUCUUAUUGUUUUUGUUCAAAACAAUAAAUUUUUUUCAGACAUAUCCAUAUUCCUCUUCUAAUAGAAUAACACCUAUCUAAGUGAUGAAUUAGAAAAAAAAAAAAGACACGGUGGGUUACAUAUCAGAAGAAAGAGACUGAGAGGAAAAAAUGGAGAAAAAUCGAAGAUUCCAACACCUUCUCAACAGAUUAUGCUUGGGAUUCAAGUUGGGUUCUGCAUUGCACAGCAAAACUAAGUUUUGGGCCAACUUUCUUCUCGAAACGUAAGUUGUUUGCAGAACCGCAAUUCCAAUGACUCUGCAAUUUUUCUCGACGUUUCUGUGCAUAAGCAACUCCAGUGACUAAAUAAAAUAUUUAAUUAUGAGAGGUAUACACGAAAUAAAAUAUUGUUUUUAAUUAGAUAUUUUAUUUAUCCGAAGAAUAAACAAAUAAGUGGGUGUCUAAUUCUAGGACACGUACAAAGUAUUGGGUGUUUUCCAAAAUAUUACUAAAGUGAUAAUAGACAGCAAAAAAUCUCAUAGAAGAAAAAGGGGGAAGUGGCGAAAAUUUAGGGUUUGGGGAUUCCAAAUCUCUGAAGCUCGUUGGUACCCUCUCAUCGCUGCUGCUGCUGCUGCUGCUGCUGCUGCUGCAAGAGUCUUUGGCGGAGUUACUCUCUUCUGUUCAAACACUAACAAAUUCCUCGCUUUCUAGAUUUCUACGCAUAGAAAGGUUGUCAGCUCCAUCAUCUGUCGCGCUUCUAUUUGCUGUGAGAGAUGCCUUGAGGUUCUGCCUGUUGGAAAUGCUCAGUUGGAAUCAUCUAAAGAUAAGGACCCAAGUGGGGAUAUUGCCGGAAUUUUCUGGUGGGGAAGUUGCCGGACCGGAAGUCAACCAUGGAAAGUCUUCCAAAAUGAAAAUCCACCUUUGGUGAGGAAGGUAGCUGAGAAUUGUGACUGCCUUCAUUGUCCAUGAUAUUCUUUUUGCCCAUGUGAGGUGGUAUCUGAGUUCUUUAUGCUAUUUCAGUUCACUUUUUAUUAUUUAUUCAUGGUUUGGUUUGUUUUCAUAUGAAACAGUGUCCCCAAAGUAUUAACUAAUAUGAAACACAUCUUUUUUCAGGAAAGUAAGCUCUUAUAGAACCCCUAAUAAAUGAUAGGAACCUUCCCCUCCCCUCCACACACAGAUCUAUUAACAUCACUUCUUCUUCUUCUUCUUCCUUUCCUUUUUCACCCCCAAACGAAUAGUAUUUCAAUAUGGAAAUCUAAAUUCUAUGGCCUUCUUUAUUAAGUAGAUGAUAUUAGCCAUUGUGGACACUCUUGGAGCUCAUAAACGUAUGUCAUUUUGAAGUGGGAUUUUAAAGAGCCUUCAAGUUUUUUUCAUGUUUUAAUUUGUAUAACUUGAAAUAAGAAAUUGUUUUUUAUUUAGAAUUUUAACCUUAGAAUUGAGAUAUGUUUGGAGGAGUGAUUGCAAGGUGUCUUUAUCAUUGAAAGCAAUAUGGAGAUGGUUCAUUGUUUGGACAGUAAUUGAAUGAACUUCACAAUAAUAAGAAUUUUUGAUUUUGAGAGGCACGUCGUCUUCUCUGAAAUAAUAAUCUCUGGUUAUAGCAUUUCAAUAUAAAAAUUGGUAAUGCAGUCUGUUUCCGUCAAUCGCAAUAGACCCAACAAGUUUGAAGUAUGAGUUUAAAGUUGGGUGCUGCGGCACCGAGUUUUCUAGUAGAUAAUUUAUAUUGAUGGAGUUACUUGUAAUAACAAGUUUUUGUCAAAGUUCAAGUUUGGAGACGGAAAUUCAUGAAACUUUGGGCAAGGUCCUUUUAUCGUUGUUGUAUUUUCUUUUGCUCUUUCUCUAUUAAAAUUUUAUCAAAGAAAAGUGUUGCACUAUCAUCGUCAAUUCAAAACCUAUGGUGUGUUCGUCUCCGUAUUGGUGAUAUUUUUCUAUACUUACUUUUCGAGAAAAGAAGAAAAAGACAAAAAUAAAAAGAUACGGUAAUAUUCUAUUGUUUGUUGGAUUUGCUAUUAUGAAUUUUGUUUUAUCAAGAACUACCAUUUUGUUGAAGAACAUAUGAGAUUUUUUUGGUAGAAUUUAUAGUGGAGUUCACUGUGUUAAAAUAGUUAUUUGAUUUUUGGAAAGUAAUUGUCAGCUUUUUCCUAAUCAUUCUUUUUUCCUAUAAAAAAACAUGUUAACAGUGUGAGGAACCAUCUAUUAACAACACCAUCACCAGCCUCCUUUAUGCUAGGAUGGAGCACGUUGGAGCACAUUUUGCCUCUAAACUCAACUCCAUUUUAGCAUCAGUGAGGCUGAUAGUGGUGUCCAUAAAUAGUUUCUAACCGCUGUCGGCAUGUUUUUCUUUACACGAAGAAAGAAUGAUUAAGGAAAAGCUGAAGAUUGCUCCCAAGAAACCAAACCACAAUUUUAACACAGUAAAUUCCACCACAAGUUCUACCAAAAGAACUUUAUAAAUUCUUCAACAAAUUAAUAGUUCUUUUGGAGUGAUAAACAAAAUUAAUAAUGACAAAUCCAGCCAGCGAUAAAAUAUCAUCGAAUCUUUUUGUUCUUGUUUUUCUCCUCUUCUCGAAAAGUAGGAGUUGAAAAAUAUCACCAAUACAGAAACGAACACACCACAUGUUUUGAAUUGACUUCGAUAAUGUAAUACUUUUUUUGAUAAAGUUUUAACAGAGGAAGAGGAAAGGAAAGCACAACAGUGGCAAAAAAAGACCUUAGCCAAGGUUCUAUGAAUUUCCGUCUCCGAACUUGGAUAAAAACCUAUUAUAGCACCAGUAGCUCCAACAAGGCAGCAACACAAACUAUUCACUCGAAAAUUCGGUGCUGCAAUAUCUAACUUUGAACCCAUGCUUUAAAUUUGUUGGGUCUAUUGCGAUCGCCGAAGACAGGGCUGCAUUACCAGUUUUCAUAUUGAAAUGCUAUCAACAGGGAUUGUUAUUUCAGGGAGGACGACGUACCUCCUGAAAUCGAAAAUUCUUAUUCAUGCAAGGCUCAUUUAAUUACUGUCUAAGUAAUGAACCGCCUCCAUUCUACUUUUAAUAAUAAAGACAUCUUGCAACCACUCUUCCAAACAUACCCCAAUUCCAAAAGUUGAAAUGAAAAAUGUGGAGGCCUCUUUAGAAUCCACCUUCAAGAAGACGUAUGUCUCCAGUGAGUAUCACAAUAGCCAAUAUCAUCUAUUUAUCUAAGGAAAAAGAUUCAGUUGCUCAACAGCACCCAGCCAUCCACAGCACCGUUUUCUCCCUCGGGGACAGCACCCACCCACCCACAGCACCGUCUCCUCCAUGCCGAGUUUAUGGAGCCUCCGAGCUAGGUUGGGGAAAUUAUUAACAGAUUUGAGAAGAAGGGUUUUUACUUGAAAGGUAACUUCUUUUGUUUUUGUUACUACUUAACAUACGUGCUAACAAUUUAGCUUAGAAACUUUUUUAGCCUUAUGCCGAGAGGCACUAUGCUGAUUUAUCUACAAAGCCUUUCUUUAAUGGAUUGGCCUAAUACAUUAUCUUUGGUUCUAUUCUUGCCAUGGUCUGGGAGGGUAAAGGUGUUGUUGCAACUGGCCGAAAGUUGAUUGGAGCAACAAAUCCCCCUUGGCAUCUGAGCUUGGAACUAUCCAUGGUGACUUCGCCAUUGCAUCGGAAGGUUGGUUUGCUUAAAGAAGUUUCAUAGACACCAAUCAUUUGAUUUCAGGUUGGUUUGCUUAAAGAAGUUUCAUAGACAACAAAACGUGGCUAUCUGUUGCUGGAAAUUUGUUUUUUAUUUUUUUGUUGUGCUGACUAUUGAACCUUUAAACUUCUUUAAUGGUCGUACUUUAAUUUCUUUUGUCGUUGAAUUUCAUUGGAUCAAGACUUUUGUUGGUUAUGAUGUACUUGUAUUCUAUAAUUUCAAUGCUAUCACUUUGUGAAAUAGUAUGACAGGUUUUGUAUGAAUUGAUUGAAAAACCGAACAAACUGAACCAAAUCAAAUCGAUUUCAAUUGGUUUGAUUUGGUUUGGUUGGUCUGGAUAAAAAAAUCAUCGAACCGUAAUUUAAUUAAUCGAUUGGAUCAGAUGAUUUUUUUUUUUUUAAAACCAAACUAAAUCGCACCGCGAACACCCUUACCUGGAAUGCCAAUACUUCCAUGUUCAAUUAUAAUUUGUUUGUUUUUGUUUUUUAUU